GACGAACGCUGGCGGCAGGCUUAACACAUGCAAGUCGAACGCCCCGCAAGGGGAGUGGCAGACGGGUGAGUAACGCGUGGGAAUCUACCCAUCUCUGCGGAAUAGCUCCGGGAAACUGGAAUUAAUACCGCAUACGCCCUACGGGGGAAAGAUUUAUCGGGGAUGGAUGAGCCCGCGUUGGAUUAGCUAGUUGGUGGGGUAAAGGCCUACCAAGGCGACGAUCCAUAGCUGGUCUGAGAGGAUGAUCAGCCACAUUGGGACUGAGACACGGCCCAAACUCCUACGGGAGGCAGCAGUGGGGAAUAUUGGACAAUGGGCGCAAGCCUGAUCCAGCCAUGCCGCGUGAGUGAUGAAGGCCUUAGGGUUGUAAAGCUCUUUCACCGGUGAAGAUAAUGACGGUAACCGGAGAAGAAGCCCCGGCUAACUUCGUGCCAGCCGCCGCAGUAAUAC
rnacentral:rRNA from 1 species